rnacentral:rRNA from 1 species
AAAGGAGCGCAACCCUUGAUUUUAGUGCCAACAUUCAGUUGGGCACUCUAAGGUGAMCARCGGUGACAAACCGGAGGAAGGUGGGGCAUGACGUCAAAUCAUCAUGCCCUUUAUGACKUGGGUUACACACGWGCUACAAUGGACAGAACAAAGGGCAGCGAAACCGCGAGGUUAAGCCAAUCCCACAAAUCUGUUCUCAGUUCGGAUCGCAGUCUGCAACUCGACUGCGUGAAGCUGGAAUCGCUAGUAAUCGCCGAUCAGCAUGCCGCGGUGAAUACGUUCCCGGGCCUUUACACWCUWCAAUCACACCACGAGUGUWGUAACACCCAAGUCGUGAGGAAYUUAUGAACASCACCUAGGGUGUCUUG